rnacentral:tRNA from 1 species
GCCUGGGUAGCUCAGUCAGUUAAGCAUCUGACUUCAGCUCAGGUCAUGAUCUCACCAUUUGUGAGUUUGAGCCUCAUGUCGGGCU